AUGGCACGCGGGUUCACCGGCUCCGACGCCCUGACGGCGCUCACCCACCGCCUCGCCGACCAGUUGUCGGUCACCAGGGAAACCCCCAGCAACGUCGCCUUCUCGCCGCUCACUAUCUACUCGGCCCUAUCCCUGGUGGCCGCCGGGGCCCGGGGCAGCACCCUGGACGAGCUCCUCGCCGUCCUCGGCGCGAGCUCCCGCGACGAACUCGCCGCGAACGGCCGCUUCGUGGCGGAGCGCGCGCUCGCCGACCGCUCGCCAUCAGGUGGGCCACGCGUCGUGUUCGCCUCCGGCGUGUGGCACGACGCGGGGCGGCCGCUGGAGCCGGCCUACAGGGAGGCCGUCGCCGCGUCCUACUUGGCCGAGAUACGCGCCGUCGACUUCCGCAACAAGGCGGACGAGUCGAGGGAAGAGAUCAACAAGUGGGUCGCGGCGGCCACGGGCAACCUCAUCGACUCGAUCCUCCCCGCUGAGUCGGUGGGCGAGGACACGGCCGUGGUGCUCGCCAACGCCAUCUACUUCAAGGGCAAGUGGGAGACGCCAUUCAAGAAGAAGAAGACCAAGGUGGAGCGGUUCUACCUCCUGGACGGGACCGCCGUGGAUGCGCCCAUGAUGCGCACCGGGCGGAGCCAGUACAUCGACGAGCACGACGGCUUCAAGGUGCUCCGGCUGCCGUACAGGUCCAAGGACCCCGGCGCCUCCAAGAAGCGGCGACGCGGCACCUCGUCCGGCGACGAUCCUGCCCCGCCACUACCGCGCUACUCCAUGUGCGUCUUCCUGCCGGACGCGCGCGACGGCCUGUGGGACCUCGUCGGCAAGAUCGCGUCCAGCCCGAGCUUCCUGCGCGACCACCUGCCGGAAUACGAGGUCGAUGUCGACGAGUUCCGCCUGCCCAAGUUCAAGGUCUCCUUCUACGGCAAGCUGUCCGGGGUGCUUGGGGAUAUGGGACUCGUGGCCACGUUCAAGGCCGACAAGGCUGACCUGACUGGCAUGGCGCCCGACGUCGAGGAUACCUCUGGGGACAUAAAGCGGCUGGUGCUCAAGGACGUUUUCCAGAGGGCGGUGGUCGAGGUGAACGAGGAAGGCACGGAGGCGGCGGCAGUAACCGUCUGUGAGGAGGAAGAUGAAUCGGCCUGUCAGCCGGUGGAUUUCAUCGCCGACCAUCCGUUUGCCUUCUUUGUGAUCGAGGAGGUGUCCGGUGCCGUCGUCUUCGCCGGCCAUGUGCUUGAUCCUACAAAACACCAAGACACAUUACACGACGUGGAUUAG
rnacentral:rRNA from 1 species